rnacentral:rRNA from 1 species
AUUGAACGCUGGCGGCAGGCCUAAAACAUGCAAGUCGAACGAGUGGCGGACGGGUGAGUAAUGUCUGGGAAACUGCCUGAUGGAGGGGGCUAACGACUGGAAACGGUAGCUAAUACCGCAUACCUACGGUGGUGCCCAGAUGGGAUUAGCUAGUAGGUGGGGUAACGGCUCACCUAGGCGACGAUCCCUAGCUGGUCUGAGAGGGUGACCAGCCACCCUGGAACUGAGACACGGUCCAGAAUCCUACGGGAUGCAGCAGUUGGGAAUAUUGCACAAUGGGCGGAAGCCUGAUGCAGCCAUGCCGCGUGUAUGAAGAAGGCCUUCGGGUUGUAAAGUACUUUCAGCGGGGAAGCGUUACCCGCAGAAGAAGCACCGGCUAACUCCGUGCCAGCAGCCGCGGUAAUUC